rnacentral:rRNA from 1 species
GAAGUCUUCGGAUGGAUAGAAGAACCCCUGAUGCCGUCGAGCCAAGAAAAGUUUCUAAGUUUAGCUAAUGUUGCCCGUACCGUAAACCGACACAGGUGGGUGGGAUGAGUAUUCUAAGGCGCGUGGAAGAACUCUCUUUAAGGAACUCUGCAAAAUAGCACCGUAUCUUCGGUAUAAGGUGUGGUUAGCUUUGUAUUAGGAUUUACUCCGAAAGCAAGGAAACUUACAACAAAGAGUCCCUCCCGACUGUUUACCAAAAACACAGCACUCUGCUAACUCGUAAGAGGAUGUAUAGGGUGUGACGCCUGCCCGGUGCUCGAAGGUUAAUUGAUGGGGUUAGCAUUAGCGAAGCUCUUGAUCGAAGCCCGAGUAAACGGCGGCCGUAACUAUAACGGUCCUAAGGUAGCGAAAUUCCUUGUCGGUUAAAUACCGACCUGCAUGAAUGGCGUAACGAGAUGGGAGCUGUCUCAAAGAGGGAUCCAGUGAAAUUGUAGUGGAGGUGAAAAUUCCUCCUACCCGCGGCAAGACGGAAAGACCCCGUGGACCUUUACUACAGCUUGACACUGCUACUUGGAUAAGAAUGUGCAGGAUAGGUGGGAGGCUUUGAGUAUAUGACGCCAGUUGUAUAUGAGCCAUUGUUGAGAUACCACUCUUUCUUAUUUGGGUAGCUAACCAGCUUGAGUUAUCCUCAAGUGGGACAAUGUCUGGUGGGUAGUUUGACUGGGGCGGUCGCCUCCCAAAUAAUAACGGAGGCUUACAAAGGUUGGCUCAGAACGGUUGGAAAUCGUUCGUAGAGUAUAAAGGUAUAAGCCAGCUUAACUGCAAGACAUACAAGUCAAGCAGAGACGAAAGUCGGUCUUAGUGAUCCGGUGGUUCUGUGUGGAAGGGCCAUCGCUCAAAGGAUAAAAGGUACCCCGGGGAUAACAGGCUGAUCUCCCCCAAGAGCUCACAUCGACGGGGAGGUUUGGCACCUCGAUGUCGGCUCAUCGCAUCCUGGGGCUGGAGCAGGUCCCAAGGGUAUGGCUGUUCGCCAUUUAAAGCGGUACGCGAGCUGGGUUCAGAACGUCGUGAGACAGUUCGGUCCCUAUCUGCCGUGGGCGUAAGAAGAUUGAAGAGAUUUGACCCUAGUACGAGAGGACCGGGUUGAACAAACCACUGGUGUAGCUGUUGUUCUGCCAAGAGCAUCGCAGCGUAGCUAAGUUUGGAAAGGAUAAACGCUGAAAGCAUCUAAGCGUGAAGCCAACUCUAAGAUGAAUCUUCUCUAAGCUCUCUAGAAGACUACUAGUUUGAUAGGCUGGGUGUGUAAUGGAUGAAAGUCCUUUAGCUGACCAGUACUAAUAGAGCGUUUGGCUUAUCUUU